GGGAAACUGCCUGAUGGAGGGGGAUAACUACUGGAAACGGUAGCUAAUACCGCAUAACGUCGCAAGACCAAAGUGGGGGACCUUCGGGCCUCAUGCCAUCAGAUGUGCCCAGAUGGGAUUAGCUGGUAGGUGGGGUAACGGCUCACCUAGGCGACGAUCCCUAGCUGGUCUGAGAGGAUGACCAGCCACACUGGAACUGAGACACGGUCCAGACUCCUACGGGAGGCAGCAGUGGGGAAUAUUGCACAAUGGGCGCAAGCCUGAUGCAGCCAUGCCGCGUGUGUGAAGAAGGCCUUCGGGUUGUAAAGCACUUUCAGCGGGGAGGAAGGCGGUGAGGUUAAUAACCUCAUCGAUUGACGUUACCCGCAGAAGAAGCACCGGCUAACUCCGUGCCAGCGGCCGCGGUAAUACGGAGGGUGCAAGCGUUAAUCGGAAUUACUGGGCGUAAAGCGCACGCAGGCGGUCUGUCAAGUCGGAUGUGAAAUCCCCGGGCCCAACCUGGGAACUGCAUUCGAAACUGGCAGGCUAGAGUCUUGUAGAGGGGGGUAGAAUUCCAGGU
rnacentral:rRNA from 1 species